rnacentral:rRNA from 1 species
CGCGUAGGUGGUUUGUUAAGUUGGAUGUGAAAUCCCCGGGCUCAACCUGGGAACUGCAUUCAAAACUGACUGACUAGAGUAUGGUAGAGGGUGGUGGAAUUUCCUGUGUAGCGGUGAAAUGCGUAGAUAUAGGAAGGAACACCAGCGGCGAAGGCGACCACCUGGACUGAUACUGACACUGAGGUGCGAAAGCGUGGGGAGCAAACA